rnacentral:lncRNA from 1 species
CCAGCGAAGAAUAACAAAUUGAUAAACGGAACGCACGUUUUAGGCUUUAUCCUUUGUCCUUGUUUAACAAAAUCGAUUUAAAGGACUGUGUCACCGCGUGGCAUCCUACGUGUUUCUAACACUAAGUAAUGAUAAAUUAUUGUUAAUAUUUUUUAAAUUCUUUGUGUGUUUUUUCCUUCUUUUAUUUCAAAUAGAAGUAUAGUUAGGAUAAAUUUUAGAAAAUUUAGAUGCUCAGACGGCAGGAAAUGGCAUUUUUGGGCUUGAAAUUUCAAAAAUUUUCUGGGGAGUUAAUGCCUCCAGACCCCCUAUUCAUUCGCGGUAUGUCGGCCACACACGUGACCCACGGCCAUUGCUAUCCCCCUUUAAUAAUAAGUAAUGGAUAAAUUAUUGUUAAAGGUGAUCUACAGUCCGUAUGUAAACAAAGCCUUUGUUUACAUUUUUGUGUCCAAAAUAUUGAGCUUUAUUCGACAACUAUUUAUAUUUUCAAGCUUCUAGAGUAUAAUAAAUGAACAAGAAACAACAAUCAGGCUUUUCAAGAACUCAAAACAUAGUUAAACUGUUUAUAUCAUAAAAAGUGGGCUCAUUUGUGCACAUGCGCAGAUCGGACUGUAGAUCACCUUUAAUAUUUCUUUUAUUUUUUCUGCAUUUUUUCCUUCUUUUAUUUCAAAUACAAGUAUAAUUAGCAUAAAUUUUAGAGCAAAUUUAGACGCUCAUAAAGCAGAAAAUGGUAUUUGAAAGGUUCAAAUUUAAAACAUUUUCUGGGGGAGUAUGUCGGCCACACACCGUGGCCGUCGGCCAUUGCUAUCCCCCUCUAAUAUAUUAUCUAAGAUCCCUUUUCAAAAAAUACCCCCCCACGGAAAAUCCUUAAAAAAGGCCCUGUUGUCCUGUAUUUCGGUCUCGGAACUGUCGUAUGUCGUCACGGUAUAAGUUAACUGUGUAGUUCGUAUAUUUGCCUAGCCACAUGUUGUGAUUGAGGCUAUGUGAGGAUUGUAAGUUUAUCACCUAGUACUAUUUUAAGUAGAUGCAGUUAGUGAGUUAGGUUUUGUGCAUGCUCACAGGGUUUUGAAAGCAAACCAUGCCGUGAAAUAUGUGAAGCCUAUGGUUUGUGUCAUGUAUCUAACUAUCUAGGUAGAAUACCUAAAAGUAGAUGUUGUACAAACUAAAAAGUUGUGGUUUAUAGAAUCUGGCAGACCUCCUCCGCCCCCUGUCUCCUAUUUCCUCCCUCCUCCC